UACGGGGGAGCAAGCGUUGUUCGGAUUUACUGGGCGUAAAGGGCGCGUAGGCGGCCAGCACAAGUCAGUUGUGAAAUCUCCGGGCUUAACUCGGAAAGGUCAACUGAUACUGUGCGGCUAGAGUGCAGAAGGGGCAACUGGAAUUCUCGGUGUAGCGGUGAAAUGCGCAGAUAUCAGGAGGAACACCGGUGGCGAAGGCGGGUCUCUGGGCCGUAACUGACGCUGAGGAGCGAAAGCAUGGGGAGCGAACAGG
rnacentral:rRNA from 1 species